rnacentral:rRNA from 1 species
GAUGAACGCUGGCGGCGUGCCUAACACAUGCAAGUCGAGCGAACGGACGAGACGCUUGCUUCUCUGCUGUUAGCGGCGGACGGGUGAUUAACACGUGGAUAACUUACCUAUAAGACUGGGAUAACUUCGGGAAACCGGAGCUAACACCGGAUAAUAUUUUGAACCGCAUGGUUCAACAGUGAAAGACGUUCUUGCUGUCCCUUAUAGAUGGAUCCGCGGUGCAUUAGCUAGUUGGUAAGGUAACGGCUUACCAAGGCAACGAUGCAUAGCCGACCUGAGAGGGUGAUCAGCCACACUGGAACUGAGACACGGUCCAGACUCCUACGGGAGGCAGCAGUAGGGAAUCUUCCGCAAAGGGCGAAAGCCUGACGGAGCAACGCCGCGUGAGUGAUGAAGGUCUUCGGAUCGUAAAACUCUGUUAUUAGGGAAGAACAUAAGUGUAAGUAACUGUGCACAUCUUGACGUUACCUAAACAGAAAGCCACGGCUAACUACGUG